UACGUAGGGUGCGAGCGUUGUCCGGAAUUAUUGGGCGUAAAGGGCUCGUAGGCGGUUUGUCGCGUCGGGAGUGAAAUCCACUGGCUUAACUGGUGGCUUGCUUUCGAUACGGGCAGACUGGAGGUAUGCAGGGGAGAACGGAAUUCCUGGUGUAGCGGUGAAAUGCGCAGAUAUCAGGAGGAACACCGGUGGCGAAGGCGAAUCCCUGGAAAAUACCUGACACUGAGGCACGAAAGCUAGGGGAGCAAACAGG
rnacentral:rRNA from 1 species